AUACGUAGGUCCCGAGCGUUGUCCGGAUUUAUUGGGCGUAAAGCGAGCGCAGGCGGUUUAAUAAGUCUGAAGUUAAAGGCAGUGGCUUAACCAUUGUUCGCUUUGGAGACUGUUAAACUUGAGUGCAGAAGGGGAGAGUGGAAUUCCAUGUGUAGCGGUGAAAUGCGUAGAUAUAUGGAGGAACACCGGUGGCGAAAGCGGCUCUCUGGUCUGUAACUGACGCUGGGGCUCGAAAGCGUGGGGAGC
rnacentral:rRNA from 1 species